UACGGGGGGGAGCAAGCGUUGUUCGGAUUUACUGGGCGUAAAGGGCGCGUAGGCGGCGUGACAAGUCACUUGUGAAAUCUCCGGGCUUAACUCGGAACGGUCAAGUGAUACUGUCGGACUAGAGUACAGAAGGGGCAACUGGAAUUCUCGGUGUAGCGGUGAAAUGCGCAGAUAUCGGGAGGAACACCAGUGGCGAAGGCGACUUCCUGGCCUGUUCUUGACGCUGAGGC
rnacentral:rRNA from 1 species